rnacentral:rRNA from 1 species
CACAAGCAGCGGAGCGUGUGGUUUAAUUCGUUGCUACACGAAGAACCUUACCUGGGUUUGACAUAUAGGUUGUAGGGAACUGAAAAGGGACCGACCCUUCGGGGAGCCUAUACAGGUGUUGCAUGGCUGUCGUCAGCUCGUGUCGUGAGAUGUUCGGUUAAGUCCGCUAACGAGCGCAACCCUCGUCGUAUGUUAUAUGUGUCAUACGAGACUGCCGGUAAAAAGCCGGAGGAAGGUGAGGAUGAUGUCAAGUCAGCAUGACCUUUAUAUCCAGGGCUACACACACGCUACAAUGGUCUGUACAAUGGGUAGCCAAGCCGCGAGGCGGAGCCAAUCCUGAAAGCAGGCCUCAGUUCAGAUUGCAGUCUGCAACUCGACUGCAUGAAGCCGGAGUUGCUAGUAACCGCAGGUCAGCAAUACUGCGGUGAAUACGUUCCCGGGUCUU